rnacentral:sRNA from 1 species
AGGAAGGACGAUGCUGUGGCCUAGGCCUUA